UAGGGAAUCUUCCACAAUGGACGAAGUCUGAUGGAGCAACGCCGCGUGAGUGAAGAAGGGUUUCGGCUCGUAAAACUCUGUUGUUAAAGAAGAACAUAUCUGAGAGUAACUGUUCAGGUAUUGACGGUAUUUAACCAGAAAGCCACGGCUAACUACGUGCCAG
rnacentral:rRNA from 1 species